rnacentral:rRNA from 1 species
GACGAACGCUGGCGGCGUGCCUAAUACAUGCAAGUCGAACGGUGAUGCUCCAGCUUGCUGGUGUGGAUCAGUGGCGAACGGGUGAGUAACACGUGAGCAACCUGCCCCAGACCGUGGGAUAACCGCUGGAAACGACGGCUAAUACUGGAUAAGAAAAUGGCCUGCAUGGGCUUGGCUUGAAAAGUUCGUUGGUUUGGGAUGGACGCGCGGCCUAUCAGCUUGUUGGUGAGGUAAUGGUACACACAGGCGACGACGGGUAGCCGUCCUGAGAGUGCGACAGGCCACAGAGGGACUGAGGAGCGGGCCAGAGUGCAACGGGGGGCAGCAGUGGGAGUCAUUGCGCGAUGGGCGGAAGGCGGAUGGAGGGACGCCGCAUGGUGGAGGACGGUCGUAAGGGUGGAAACCGUGUUCAGCUGGGAAGAAGCGAAAGUGACGGUACCUUAAGAAGAAGCACCGGCUAACUACGUG